GAGGAAAGCUGGCGGCGUGCUUAACACAUGCGAGUCGAACGGAAAGGCCCUGCUUUUGUGGGGUGCUCGAGUGGCGAACGGGUGAGUAACACGUGAGUAACCUGCCCUUGACUUUGGGAUAACUUCAGGAAACUGGGGCUAAUACCGGAUAGGAGCUCCUGCUGCAUGGUGGGGGUGGGAAAGUUUCGGCGGUUGGGGAUGGACUCGCGGCUUAUCAGCUUGUUGGUGGGGUAGUGGCUUACCAAGGCUUUGACGGGUAGCCGGCCUGAGAGGGUGACCGGCCACAUUGGGACUGAGAUACGGCCCAGACUCCUACGGGAGGCAGCAGUGGGGAAUAUUGCACAAUGGGCGGAAGCCUGAUGCAGCAACGCCGCGUGCGGGAUGACGGCCUUCGGGUUGUAAACCGCUUUCGCCUGUGACGAAGCGUGAGUGACGGUAAUGGGUAAAGAAGCACCGGCUAACUACGUG
rnacentral:rRNA from 1 species